ACGCUGAGUUGCCUGGCAGAUGGGAAGCGAGUCCCUCCUGCCCUGUGGAGGGGAGGGGCGGAGGACAGCCCACUGUCAGUCCACAACCGCCACGCUGGAGAGACCUGAAAAUCCGGGCUGGCUGCGAAAAUCCAGGCUCGUUGUCAGGCUGGCAGCAUUGGCCCGGGCUGAGUGAAUCAAGUGAAACAGAAGGCAAACGGAUUGACCAAGUUAUUACCACGAGGAAACAGACAAGGUGUUCCAGUUGCUUGCUGAAAGGGUGCCAGGAUCUGUGUGAUUUCCUGUGUGGUGACCCACUGCACCGGCUGAAACAACAGCACUGCCUGCGAAUCUCCUGGCCAGCUUAAAAGGGCA
rnacentral:lncRNA from 13 species